AACGAACGCUGGCGGCAGGCCUAACACAUGCAAGUCGAACGCGUCCUUCGGGACGAGUGGCAGACGGGUGAGUAACGCGUGGGAACGUACCCUUUGGUUCGGAACAACAGCGGGAAACUGCUGCUAAUACCGGAUAAGCCCUUCGGGGAAAGAUUUAUCGCCAGAGGAUCGGCCCGCGUUAGAUUAGCUUGUUGGUGAGGUAAUGGCUCACCAAGGCUACGAUCUAUAGCUGGUCUGAGAGGAUGAUCAGCCACACUGGGACUGAGACACGGCCCAGACUCUUACGGGAGGCAGCAGUGGGGAAUCUUGGACAAUGGGCGAAAGCCUGAUCCAGCCAUGCCGCGUGAAUGAUGAAGGCCCUAGGGUUGUAAAUUACUUUCGUACGGGGAAGAUAAUGACGGUACCCGUAGAAGAAGCUCCGGCUAACUUCGUGCCAGCAGCCGCGGUAAU
rnacentral:rRNA from 1 species